AAAUUUGAAUUUGGAGCAUAAUUUAGAUAAUUUAAAUGAUUACUAUAUGCUGGAUUGGAAAUCGACUUAGGAGAAAACCUACACAUGGAACUUAUCAGUUAUUUGAUCAGAUUUAACUUAAGAAGCUAUAUUUACUAUUGUAUCGCCACUGUUAGUAUAUCGCGGAUACUCAGAUUAGUGUAGGUUGAAAUUACGCUCGUGCUGAAAUGUCAAAUGAAUUUUUACAGCAAUGUUUUGGCUGUUUCGUGUUGUCAGGUGCCGUCCGGACUGACAGUGG
rnacentral:lncRNA from 1 species